rnacentral:rRNA from 1 species
AAGCCGUGAGGUGGAGCAAAGCCCAAAAAAGACAGUCUCAGUUCGGAUUGAAGGCUGAAAUUCGCCUUCAUGAAGCCGGAAUUGCUAGUAAUGGCAGGUCAGCAUACUGCCGUGAAUACGUUCCCGGGCCUUGUACACACCGCCCGUCACACCAUGAGAGUUGGGAAUACCCGAAGCCUGUGAGCUAACGUUAAGAGGCAGCAGUCGAAGGUAGAAUCAAUGAUUGGGGUGAAGUCGUAACAAGGUACC